UAUUAGUAUUUUUUUUUUGAAACUUCCAUGGUCUCUAACUGAUGGAGGUGCUCUAAAGAGAUUGUGUACUCUACAAAAGUACUUAAACAUAGCAAAAUAAUGAGUUAUAAAAAUCAGCAUGGUGGAUUUAAAAAUACUAAGGAACUUUCUCCCUUAAACUGUUUUUCUCUGGCCUGGAUCUUCCUUCACCGCCGUGAGGAAUGUAGGAGCACACAGAUUCCUCAGACCUGCGAGACAGCGAAUCGUUUACAGGAUGCAGCGCUAUUUAUCUUAGAUUUUAAAAGAUUUCAAUAAUAUUUUGCCGUAUUUAGAAUUAAAAUCGAGUUAUUUAAAUUACAAUUACUUUAGAUUAUGAAGUUCAGGUUUCUGUUUAGGCAAACAUAACUAUAUAUAUAUGACUUAGUCUGUCCUUUUCUAAAAUUUUCUAUAUAUUGUUACAUUUUCAGUGUCCUAAAUCCUAAUUAUACUUCUGCAACUAUGCUUGUCUGUAACCAAAAAAAAAUUUUACUUGUCGACGUAGACGUGUGUGGGUGAAAAAUGAAAUUUCUGUUUCUGCAAUAACUGUUUCUCAAAAGAAUGUUAACAUCAGUCAGAUUUCAGAUCUCUGGUACCACGAAAAUAAAAAUACAAAACUAGAAGCGACUGAAUUGAUCAAUUCGAUGGUACACGCAACAAAUGACCAAAAUUUUAAAUAGACUCGAGUUCUCAUGGGAACCAUGCCAUAUUACCAUACACUUUCUAUCUUAAAAUGGUCCAAUUCUAUAUCUGUUAUUAUGAAAAAUAAUAAUGAAAUAAAAAUAAUAGUUUUUAAAAUAUGAAAUUAGACACAUUUCUUGCGUUCAUGUCAUUUCUGGCGAGCUCCCUUUGGAUGGCCUACGGUUUACUCAGCCAUGAUCUCUUUCUUGCGUCACGUACGUAAUAUGCUGGGAACCCCAUUGGGAUGCUCCAACUUAUACUCUACUUUAAGUACAAGGACAAGGAGGCACCGAUUACAACAAUGGUGAUGAUCAAAUGGGAUAAUGAGAAGAACGAGUGCUCACUUGAGUUUGUACUUGAUGUUGGUAAUGAUGGUGAUGCCAAUGAGAAGAAGUUCAACAAUGCAUGUUAGUUAGUUUUCAACGUCAUUAAUGUAAAUUUUCUUGGAUGUGUGUCCCCCAGUAACUUCUUGUGAAUCCAGAGAUUUUUAUGUAAACUUCAAGGUCUCGUGGGUUGGGCUUGAUGUUACAUCUCAAUUGUAUCAUGUGAAUAAAACAAGAAGAGUUUUUGUUAUC